GGUCUUAUAGUCAAAUUAAUAUGAUAUAAAAUUGCAAAUUUUAAGGUGAAUAUAUUUAUAUAUUAAGACUU
rnacentral:tRNA from 1 species